rnacentral:rRNA from 1 species
UGGGGAAUAUUGGACAAUGGGGGCAACCCUGAUCCAGCGACGCCGCGUGUGUGAAGAAGGCCUGCGGGUUGUAAAGCACUUUUAGUGGGGAUGAAAAGCACAUUGCUAAUACCAGUGUGUCUUGACCUAACCCAAAGAAAAAGCACCGGCUAACUCUGUGCCAGCAGCCGCGGUAAUACAGAGGGUGCGAGCGUUAAUCGGAAUUACUGGGCGUAAAGCGUGCGUAGACGGUUAUUUAAGUCGGGUGUGAAAGCCCCGGGCUCAACCUGGGAAUUGCAUUCGAGACUGAAUAGCUAGGGUACGGUAGAGGGAAGUGGAAUUUCCGGUGUAGCGGUGAAAUGCGUAGAUAUCGGAAGGAACAUCAGUGGCGAAAGCGACUUCCUGGACCAGUACCGACGUUCAGGCACGAAAGCGUGGGGAGCAAACAGG